AAUCUUGGACAAUGGGGGCAACCCUGAUCCAGCCAUGCCGCGUGUGUGAAGAAGGACUUCGGUUUGUAAAGCACUUUAAGUUGGGAGGAAGGGCUUUAGGUUAAUACCCUGAAGUUUUGUCGUUACCAACAUCAUGAGCACAGGCUCACUCUGUGCCAGCAGCCGCGGUAAUACAGAUGGUGCAAGCGUUAAUCGGAAAUACUGGGCGUAAAGCGCGCGUAGGUUGUUCAGUAAGAUGGGUGUGAAAUCCCCGGGCUUAACCUGGGAACUGCUUUCAUAACUGCUGAGCUAGAGUACGGUAGAGGGUAAUGGAAUUUCCUGUGUAGCGGUGAAAUGCGUAGAUAUAGGAAGGAACACCAGUGGCGAAGGCGACUACCUGGACUGAUACUGACACUGAGGUGCGAAAGCGUGGGGAGCAAAC
rnacentral:rRNA from 1 species